rnacentral:rRNA from 1 species
AGGGUUGUAAAGCACUUUCAGUGGGGAGGAGGAUUGAUAGGUUAAGAGCUAAUUAAUUGGACGUUACCCACAGAAGAAGCACCGGCUAACUCCGUGC